CACUGCUGCUUCCUCUAGGGCUGCCCUGUCCUUCUCAGGGUGAGACAGCCUCAGUGUUGUGCUUCUUUGGACUGAUUUUUGUUUGUUUGUUUGUUUGUUUUUCCAGUGCACCGUGCAUUCGUGGGAAACUAUAGUUCUACUACUAUGGAUGCCAACAGUCCAGCAGUGCCGCUGGGGAGGGACUGACCAGAUGGACGCACAGAGCCUAAAGAAUUCGAAAUUCAUUGCAGUCUAAGUAAAAAACGUCAAAACGUUUCGACAGUAUUCCCCCAAUACUUUAACAGCCGGGGGAGGGGAGGAGAUAGGGGAGAAGCCCCCACCGUAAUAUCCUGUAACUCAGGAAGAACGGAGCUUUUCUCCCCGCUCUGACAGGAGCCCCGCUGCCACGGGCUCCUCCUGAACCCACACCUCCUCGGCGGGGGCUCCCGCUGCCCAAUUUCGACACGGCCGGAGGAACCGGGAGGACGUAGGCGGGAGCCCCGCAGCCGCCCGCAGCCCGGGGCAGCCGCCCGCCCGGAGCGCCCGGACCCACCGCCGAGCCCCGAGCCGUGAGUAGGCGCCAGCGAGGAGAUCGCGCGGCGGGGGAGGGCCGGGCCCCGUUUUUCGGCUGGGCGGGGAGCGCCGCGAGUGGGGCCGGGCGCCCCGAGGCGCCCCGCGGGCCGGCAGGGGAAGGGGCCCCCGAAAGAGCCGCGACGCCGGGCGCGGGAUGGCGCCAACGGGUACCGACCGACCCCGGCGACCCCGCCCCGGCAGCGCCCUUCGCGUCCCUGGGGAGACGCCCCGUCCGCCCGCCGCGCGGCACCACGGGAGUUGUAGUCCGGCCCCCUCCCCGCCGCCCCCAGCCCAGGGGGGAGAGAGGCGCCGCGGCCGCUCUCGCGAGGCUUGGCGGCGGGCGCGCUCUGCUCUCGGGCGGCCUCCUCGCGAGGGCGGCCGCCGGCGGCGGGGGGACGUUUGGUGCGGGCGCCAUUCCCCCGCGUGACGUCAUAGCGCAUUGUUGUGAGCGUAGCGGAGCAUCCCUCAAGCUGUCAGCUGUGCC